AUGUGUCAGUAUGUCUGUGUGUGUAUGUCAGUGUGUCUGUGUGUGUAUGUCAGUAUGUCUGUCAUAGACACACAGACAUACUGACAUACAUACACAAACAGA
rnacentral:miRNA from 1 species